rnacentral:rRNA from 1 species
CCUAACACAUGCAAGUCGAACGAACCUGUUGAGAUUGAAGCUUCGGUGGAUUUCUCUCUCUGGUUAGUGGCGAACGGGUGAGUAAUGUAUAAGUAACCUGCCCUUAAGUCUGGGAUAACUUUUCGAAAGGAAAGCUAAUACCGGAUACUCUCUUUUUUACACAAGUAUUUAAGAGGAAAGUUUUUUCGCUUAAGGAGGGGCUUAUAUCUGAUUAGCUUGUUGGUAGGGUAAUGGCCUACCAAGGCGAUGAUCAGUAGCUGGUCUGAGAGGACGAUCAGCCACACUGGGACUGAGAUACGGCCCAGACUCCUACGGGAGGCAGCAGUGGGGAAUAUUGCGCAAUGGGGGAAACCCUGACGCAGCGACGUCGCGUGAACGACGAAGUCCUUCGGGAUGUAAAGUUCUGUCAAGAGGAAUGAUAAUGACAGUACCUCUUAAGGAAGCUCCGGCUAAUUACGUGCCAGCAGCCGCGGUAAUACGUAAGGAGCGAGCGUUAUCCGGAUUUAUUGGGCAUAAAGCGCAUGUAGGUGGUUAUUUAAGUUAGAUGUUAAAGCCUUCGGCUCAACCGAAGUUCGCAUCUAAAACUAGAUAACUAGAGAGCAGUAGAGGAAAGCGGAACUCACAGUGUAGCGGUGA